UACGGAGGAUGCAAGCGUUGUCCGGAAUUAUUGGGCGUAAAGGGUCCGCAGGUGGCCAUGUAAGUCUGCUGUCAAAGAAUGAGGCUUAACCUCAUCAAGGCAGUGGAAACUACAUAGCUAGAGUACGGUCGGGGUAGAAGGAAUUCCUGGUGUAGCGGUGAAAUGCGUAGAGAUCAGGAAGAACACCGGUGGCGAAAGCGUUCUGCUAGACCUGUACUGACACUGAGGGACGAAAGCUAGGGGAGCGAAUGGG
rnacentral:rRNA from 1 species